rnacentral:misc_RNA from 1 species
AACGCACAUUGCGCCCGCUAGUAUUCUGGCGGGCAUGCCUGUUCGAGCGUCAUUGCAACCCUCAGGCCCAGCCUGGCGUUGGAGGACUGCGCUGCAGCCUCCCAAAGCAAGCGGCGGCGGCGCCCCAAAACCGAACGCAGUAGUUACUUCUCGUUCUGGGUGUGGGACGUUGACCUGCCGGAAAACCCCAUCUUUUUAGUGGUUGACCUCGAAUCAGGUAGGAAUACCCGCUGAACUUAA